rnacentral:rRNA from 1 species
UGGGGAAUAUUGCACAAUGGGCGCAAGCCUGAUGCAGCGACGCCGCGUGGGGGAGGACGGCCUUCGGGUUGUAAACUCCUUUCGCUAGGGACGAAGCUUUUUGUGACGGUACCUAGAUAAGAAGCACCGGCUAACUACGUGCCAGCAGCCGCGGUAAUACGUAGGGUGCGAGCGUUGUCCGGAAUUACUGGGCGUAAAGGGCUCGUAGGUGGUUUGUCGCGUCGUCUGUGAAAUUCCGGGGCUUAACUCCGGGCGUGCAGGCGAUACGGGCAUAACUUGAGUACUGUAGGGGUAACUGGAAUUCCUGGUGUAGCGGUGAAAUGCGCAGCUAUCAGGAGGAACACCGAUGGCGAAGGCAGGUUACUGGGCAGUUACUGACGCUGAGGAGCGAAAGCAUGGGUAGCGAACAGG